rnacentral:rRNA from 1 species
AGCAGCCGCGGUAAUUCCAGCUCCAAUAGCGUAUAUUAAAGUUGUUGCAGUUAGAAAGCUCGUAGUUGAAUUUCGGGAUCAAUACGUCGGUCGUGCUUCGGUACGUACUGGCGUAAUUGAUUUCUCCCUUCUGACGAACCAUGAUGUCAUUAACUUGGUGUCAUGGGAAAUCAGGACUGUUACUUUGAAAAAAUUAGAGUGUUUAAAGCAGGCUCACGCUUGAAUACAUUAGCAUGGAAUAAUGAAAUAGGACGUUCGAUCCUAUUUUGUUGGUUUUUAGGAUCAACGUAAUGAUUAAUAGGGAUAGUUGGGGGCAUUAGUAUUCAAUUGUCAGAGGUGAAAUUCUUGGAUUUAUUGAAGACUAACUACUGCGAAAGCAUUUGCCAAGGAUGUUUUCAUUAAUCAAGAACGAAAGUUAGGGGAUCGAAGACGAUCAGAUACCGUCGUAGU